rnacentral:rRNA from 1 species
AGUGAACGCUGGCGGUAGGCCUAACACAUGCCAGUCGAACGGCAGCACAGUAAGAGCUUGCUCUUACGGGUGGCGAGUGGCGGACGGGUGAGGAAUACAGCGGAAUCUACUUUUUCGUGGGGGAUAACGUAGGGAAACUUACGCUAAUACCGCAUACGACCUACGGGUGAAAGCAGGGGAUCUUCGGACCUUGCGCGAUUGAAUGAGCCGAUGUCGGAUUAGCUAGUUGGCGGGGUAAAGGCCCACCAAGGCGACGAUCCGUAGCUGGUCUGAGAGGAUGAUCAGCCCCACUGGAACUGAGACACGGUCCAGACUCCUACGGGAGGCAGCAGUGGGGAAUAUUGGACAAUGGGCGCAAGCCUGAUCCAGCCAUACCGCGUGGGUGAAGAAGGCCUUCGGGUUGUAAAGCCCUUUUGUUGGGAAAGAAAAGCAGCAGGUUAAUACCCCGCUGUUCUGACGGUACCCAAAGAAUAAGCACCGGCUAACUUCGUG